UACGUAGGGGGCAAGCGUUGUCCGGAAUCAUUAGGCGUAAAGAGCGUGUAGGCGGCCCGGUAAGUCCGCUGUGAAAGUCGGGGGCUCAACCCUCGAAUGCCGGUGGAUACUGUCGGGCUAGAGUGCGGGAGAGGCGAGUGGAAUUCCUGGUGUAGCGGUGAGAUGCGCAGAUAUCAGGAGGAACACCAAUUGCGAAGGCAGCUCGCUGGAACGUUACUGACGCUGAGACGCGAAAGCGUGGGGAGCAAACAGG
rnacentral:rRNA from 1 species